UACGGAGGGAGCUAGCGUUGUUCGGAAUUACUGGGCGUAAAGCGCACGUAGGCGGCAUUCUAAGUCAGAGGUGAAAUCCCGGGGCUCAACUCCGGAACUGCCUUUGAAACUGGAGCGCUAGAAUCUUGGAGAGGCGAGUGGAAUUCCGAGUGUAGAGGUGAAAUUCGUAGAUAUUCGGAAGAACACCAGUGGCGAAGGCGACUCGCUGGACAAGUAUUGACGCUGAGGUGCGAAAGCGUGGGGAGCGAACAGG
rnacentral:rRNA from 1 species